rnacentral:rRNA from 1 species
UACGUAGGUGGCAAGCGUUGUCCGGAAUUAUUGGGAGUAAAGCGCGCGCAGGCGGUCCCUUAAGUCUGAUGUGAAAGCCCACGGCUCAACCGUGGAGGGUCAUUGGAAACUGGGGGACUUGAGUGCAGGAGAGGAACGCGGAAUUCCAGGUGUAGCGGUGAAAUGCGUAGAUAUCUGGAGGAACACCGGUGGCGAAGGCGGCGUUCUGGACUGCAACUGACACUGAAAAACGAAAGCCAGGGGAGCAAACGGG